UACGUAGGGGGGCAAGCGUUGUCCGGAAUCAUUGGGCGUAAAGAGCGCGUAGGCGGCCCCUGUAAGUCCGCUGUGAAAGUCAAGGGCUCAACCCUUGGAUGCCGGUGGAUACUGCAGGGCUAGAGUCCGGAAGAGGCGAGUGGAAUUCCUGGUGUAGCGGUGAAAUGCGCAGAUAUCAGGAGGAACACCGAUGGCGAAGGCAGCUCGCUGGGACGGUACUGACGCUGAGGCGCGAAAGCCAGGGGAGCAAACGGGG
rnacentral:rRNA from 1 species